rnacentral:rRNA from 1 species
GACGAACGCUGGCGGCGUGCUUAACACAUGCAAGUCGAACGGAAAGGCCCUGCUUUUGUGGGUUGCUCGAGUGGCGAACGGGUGAGUAACACGUGAGUAACCUGCCCUUGACUUUGGGAUAACUUCAGGAAACUGGGGCUAAUACCGGAUAGGAGCUCCUGCUGCAUGGUGGGGGUUGGAAAGUUUCGGCGGUUGGGGAUGGACUCGCGGCUUAUCAGCUUGUUGGUGGGGUAGUGGCUUACCAAGGCUUUGACGGGUAGCCGGCCUGAGAGGGUGACCGGCGACAUGGGGACUGAGAUACGGACCAGACUCCUACGGGAGGCAGCAGUGGAGAAUAUUGCACAAUGGGCGGAAGCCAGAGGCAGCAACGCCGCGUGCGGGAUGACGGCCUUCGGGUUGUAAACCGCUUUCGCAUGUGACGAAGCGGGAGUGACGGUAAUGGGUAAAGAAGCAACGGCUAACUACGUG